AUGAUGCAUCUGGCUCGUACUUUCAUAAUAAUACAUGUUCCCAUCUCUUGGAUGCUGAAUAUUGUUAAGCUAAAUAUCCUUGGGAUAUGGUUCUGUUGCAGCUCAGUAAGAAAAACACCAAAUUGCAGAUACCAUUUAUGUGUGUUCGUGUCUGGUUGGAGUGCCAAAGAUCUUUGCAUCAUUCAUCGCCACCAUGCCGCCAAGUGGGCAUGGAAUCAAUUGUUUUAUUAUCUUUUACUUUCCAAUGCCUGUGCAACUUUGGCAGAAAUUACUGGUGUAGAUUCAUACGUAUUUAUUGCAGUAUGUUAUAAUCUUGAGGCAGAAGGUGCAUUACCUCUCCUGCAAUUAUCCAUAAGUCCUAUUGUGGACAAUGAUAAAGGGAUUAGUGGCUCACCAACCACUGUUCUGUAUUGCAUGGGCAUUGAUACGAGACGUAUGCCACUGACCUGCACGCUGAUCGUGCUCAGUGUGAAUACUGUCUAA
rnacentral:rRNA from 1 species